rnacentral:lncRNA from 1 species
AGAAGCCCUAUUAUUAUCACUCUCCUCCACCACCUUCACCUCCUCCACCUAAGCCAUACUACUAUCAUUCACCACCACCACCUUCACCUCCUCCACCCAAGCCAUACUACUAUCACUCACCACCACCACCUUCACCUCCUCCACCUAAACCAUACUACUAUCACUCACCACCACCACCUUCACCUCCUCCACCUAAACCAUACUACUAUCACUCACCACCACCACCUUCACCUCCUCCACCUAAACCAUACUACUAUCACUCACCACCACCACCUUCACCUCCUCCACCUAAGUCAUAUUACUAUCACUCACCACCACCACCACCCAAAAAGAAGCCAUACUACUACCAUUCUCCCCCACCACCUUCACCAC